AUUGAACGCUGGCGGCAGGCCUAACACAUGCAAGUCGGACGGUAGCACAGGGGAGCUUGCUCCUCGGGUGACGAGUGGCGGACGGGUGAGUAAUGUCUGGGGAUCUGCCCGAUAGAGGGGGAUAACCACUGGAAACGGUGGCUAAUACCGCAUAAUGUCGCAAGACCAAAGAGGGGGACCUUCGGGCCUCUCACUAUCGGAUGAACCCAGAUGGGAUUAGCUAGUAGGCGGGGUAACGGCCCACCUAGGCGACGAUCCCUAGCUGGUCUGAGAGGAUGACCAGCCACACUGGAACUGAGACACGGUCCAGACUCCUACGGGAGGAAGCAGUGGGGAAUAUUGCACAAUGGGCGCAAGCCUGAUGGAGCCAUGCCGCGUGUAUGAAGAAGGCCUUCGGGUUGUAAAGUACUUUCAGCGGGGAGGAAGGCGAUGUGGUUAAUAACCGCGUCGAUUGACGUUACCCGCAGAAGAAGCACCGGCUAACUCCGUGCCAGCAGCCGCCGUAA
rnacentral:rRNA from 1 species